rnacentral:rRNA from 1 species
CGUGCAGGUGGUUUUGUAAGUGGUGCGUGAAAGCGCUCGGCUCAACCGGGCGAGUGCGUGCCAAACUGCGGAACUAGAAACAGGCAGAGGAAAGUGGAAUUCGGGGUGUAGUGGUGAAAUGCGUAGAGAUCCCGAGGAACUCCUGUGGCGAAGGCGACUUUCUGGGCCUGCUUUGACACUCAGACGCGAAAGCAUGGGGAGCGAACG